UCUGCACCUCGGAACCAUGAGACAAAGCGACCGGAAAGGUUUGUGACUUGGCCCUUGUGACAAAGCCAGUCAUCCAUUCUCUGGAGUACAGCAUGCAUAGCCUUCUAUCCAGGCCCUUCCUGGUGGGAAAGCAGGUGUCGCUCCCGCUGAAGUCAGUUCUGCAGAGUUUCCGGAAAGAUCUGGGGUGAGACAGUGCCCAUGUCAUGGACUGAGGUGACUAAGAGUCGGUUCUCAUCAGCCUCUGUUGCCAGCCCACCAAACCUCUCCUCACAGGGACUGACACAGAGGCCACCUCCUGCUCUAUGAUGUAAGGCUACCUGGACCUUGUUCCCUCUGGUGUUCCUCUGUCGCCUUUGCUGGGCAUCCUAAGGCUUUAUCACUUCCCUGGGUAUCACCACCCUUCGGUCUCACUGACCUAAGCAGAUCCAGCCAGCUCUCUUGGCACUGCCCACCCCGUCCCAGGCCACUCAUUUCUCCAACCUCUCCCCCAGCUUUCAUCUUGAACAAAGCUUCUGAACUUAAAAGCCCAUAAUUCCUUGUCUCCCCCACCCUUCUGAUUCCGUUCCCCCAUGGUGGGGACACACUGGCGUCACUUACAGUGACAUUACCGGGCCCCUCAGCAUAGCCAAUCAGACCCCUGGCACAGCUCUCCCCAUGGCCCCCUCGCGCAUGCGCAGCUGGAGCUGGCUGAGACUUUGGACAGCCUCCAGGCUAUCACUUCAUGAUCUAAAGAGUUCAAACUGAGGCUCAGAGAGACUCGGGGAUCAGUACAAAGUUAAAGGGAAUCUUGAAGAAGACUCGGGCCUCCUGUGGCUUAUGCCCUGAAUUACUUGGGGACAGGCCAGUGUUUCCUAGUCACUUGCGUUCCUCAGUUAAG